UACGUAGGAUACAAGCGUUGUUCGGAUUUACUGGGCGUAAAGGGCGCGCAGGCGGCUCAUUUUGUCAGGCGUGAAAGCCCCGGGCUUAACCUGGGAACUGCGUUUGAUACGGAUGGGCUAGAGUUCGGGAGAGGAGAGUGGAAUUCCCAGUGUAGAGGUGAAAUUCGUAGAUAUUGGGAAGAACACCGGUGGCGAAGGCGGCUCUCUGGACCGAGACUGACGCUGAGGCGCGAAAGCGUGGGGAGCAAACAGG
rnacentral:rRNA from 1 species